rnacentral:rRNA from 1 species
ACCCAAUAGAUACCCGGGUAGUCCUAGCCGUAAACGAUGAGCACUUGGUUGGAGGCUCCUCCAUAGGCUUCCGGCCGUAGCGAAAAAGUGUUAAGUGCUCCGCCUGGGGAGUAUGGCCGCAAGGCUGAAACUCAAAGGAAUUGACGGGGGCUCACACAAGCGGUGGAGGAUGUGGCUUAAUUCGAGGCUACGCGAAGAACCUUAUCCUAGUCUUGACAUGCAUGGAUUAACCCCUAUGAAAGUAGGGCCACGCCUUCGGUGGACGAUGCACAGGUGCUGCAUGGCUGUCGUCAGCUCGUGUCGUGAGAUGUCGCGUUAAGUCGCUUAACGAGCGAAACCCUUGUCCUUAGUUGCCAGCGGGUCAUGCCGGGGUACUCUAAGGAGACUGCCGGUGUUAAACCGGAGGAAGGUGGGGAUGACGUCAAGUCCUCAUGGCCUUAUGACUAGGGCUGCACACGUCCUACAAUGGCGCGCAC